rnacentral:snoRNA from 1 species
GCUGCUGCUGCUGCUGCUGCUGUUGCUGCUGUGCUGCAGCAGCAGCAGCAGCAGCAGCAGCAGGGAGUCUUAGUGCCAUU